AAAAAUGCCAGUUUUUUAUUCUGAUUGUUGUGGGCAAAAAUCCUUGAUCAUGCGGCAUGUUUUGUUAAAAAAUGUGAUGGAACAUGUGGGAUAUUUAUGCAAUGUUUUGCAACGAAAUUGCGGUUUGCUGAAGAA